rnacentral:rRNA from 1 species
UACGGAAGGCAGCAGGGGGGAAUAUUGCACAAUGGGCGCAAGCCUGAUGCAGCCAUGCCGCGUGUAUGAAGAAGGCCUUCGGGUUGUAAAGUACUUUCAGUCGUGAGGAAGGUGUUAAGGUUAAUAACCUUAGCAAUUGACGUUAGCGACAGAAGAAGCACCGGCUAACUCCGUGCCAGCAGCCGCGGUAAUACGGAGGGUGCGAGCGUUAAUCGGAAUUACUGGGCGUAAAGGGCACGCAGGCGGUUAAUUAAGUUGGAUGUGAAAUCCCCGGGCUUAACCUGGGAAUGGCAUUCAAGACUGGUUAGCUAGAGUCUUGUAGAGGGGGUUAGAAUUCCAUGUGUAGCGGUGAAAUGCGUAGAGAUGUGGAGGAAUACCGGUGGCGAAGGCGGCCCCUGGACAAAGACUGACGCUCAUGUGCGAAAGCGUGGGGAGCAAACAGGGAUUAGAUAC